UACGUAGGGUGCGAGCGUUAAUCGGAAUUACUGGGCGUAAAGCGUGCGCAGGCGGUCUGUUAAGACCGAUGUGAAAUCCCCGGGCUUAACCUGGGAACUGCAUUGGUGACUGCAUUGCUGGAGUAUGGCAGAGGGGGGUGGAAUUCCACGUGUAGCAGUGAAAUGCGUAGAGAUGUGGAGGAACACCGAUGGCGAAGGCAGCCCCCUGGGCAAAUACUGACGCUCAUGCACGAAAGCGUGGGGAGCAAACAGG
rnacentral:rRNA from 1 species